AUUGAACGCUGGCGGCAAGCCUAACCCAUGCAAGUCGAACGAGUGGCGGACGGGUGAGUAAUGUCUGGGAAACUGCCUGAUGGUGGGGGAUAACUACUGGAAACGGUAGCUAAUACCGCAUACCAUCGGAUGUGCCCAGAUGGGCUUAGCUAGUUGGUGGGGUAAAGGCUCACCUAGGCGACGAUCGCUAGCUGGUCUGAGAGGAUGAACAGCAACACCGGAACUGAGACACGGUCCAGACUCCUAAGGGAGGCAUGAGUGGAGAAUAUUGCAAAAUUGGCGCAAGCCGGAUGCAGCCAUGCCGAGUGUAUGAAGAGGGCCUUAGGGUUGUAAAGUACUUUCAGCGCGGAGGGGUUACCCGCAGAAGAAGCACCGGCUAACUCCGUGCCAGCAGCCGCGGUAAUUC
rnacentral:rRNA from 1 species